UGCGCCCGCAAUGUGACGUCACGCAUGGUCUUGAACUUUGAAAAUCCGAGCCGACCGCCAUCUUUUUUCCUUGGAGCCGAGCCGUUCAAGAGUCACCACAUGUGUGUUCCUGAUUUAUGGGAAUGAGUCCUAACCUCUGGGACCAAUCUAAGACGAACCAAGAAGAAGUUGAGGAUUCAUUCUUCACAGUUGAUAUGUAAACAUGUCUGCUCUCAGCCGUCAAGGAGAAUGAAUUGUGACUUAUACCGUUCCCAUGCUGCCUGGAAUCCCACAGUGCCUUGUGUUCUCAAAGGGAUGCUGUCCAUGGUGCUGAUGGGCAGCUACUCUGUGCAGUAUGAGUGGAGCUGCAGCGGACCUCUGACAUGUUAUUUUUCAGCUUAUUUGCAAUAAAAUUUACC